GCAGUAAUGACGAGUCCCACAACAGGACGAAACGGUCGUCCAGUGC
rnacentral:hammerhead_ribozyme from 1 species